rnacentral:rRNA from 1 species
CCUACGGGUGGCAGCAGUGAGGAAUAUUGGUCAAUGGUCGAGAGUCUGAACCAGCCAAGUAGCGUGAAGGAUGACUGUCCUAUGGGUUGUAAACCUCUUUUAUAUGGGAAUAAAAUCUGCGACGUGUGGGAUUUUGUAUGUACCAUAUGAAUAAGGAUCGGCUAACUCCGUGCCAGCAGCCGCGGUAAUACGGAGGAUCCGAGCGUUAUCCGGAUUUAUUGGGUUUAAAGGGAGCGUAGGUGGAUUGUUAAGUCAGUUGUGAAAGUUUGCGGCUCAACCGUAAAAUUGCAGUUGAAACUGGCAGUCUUGAGUACAGUAGAGGUGGGCGGAAUGCGUGGUGUAGCGGUGAAAUGCUUAGAUAUCACGAAGAACUCCGAUUGCGAAGGCAGUUCACUGGACUGCAACUGACACUGAGGCUCGAAAGUGUGGGUAUCAAACAGGAUUAGAUACCCGAGUAGUC